rnacentral:piRNA from 1 species
AGGCAAGAUUGGGCUCUAUGACUGU